rnacentral:lncRNA from 1 species
UGUGACUGCUUAAAAAAUCUUCAAUGAACUUUUUUUAAUUAUUAUUUAUUUCUUUUUAUAGUUGCCGUCAGCUGAAAUUCGUAGCGGUUAUUGGUAAAAACUAUCAACCACAUUUACUCGAGAUAUAGUUUUUCACAUUCCAUUCAUAAAUCGCGAAAAGAAAAACCACUACUGACCUACCUUUUAAGUGAUCGCACUGUAAUAAUCCUAACCUUCACAUUUUCCAGAAUGUUUUCCAUUGUAAUUCUGCC